rnacentral:rRNA from 1 species
UACGUAGGGUCCGAGCGUUGUCCGGAAUUACUGGGCGUAAAGAGCUCGUAGGUGGUUUGUCGCGUUGUUCGUGAAAACUCACAGCUCAACUGUGGGCGUGCGGGCGAUACGGGCAGACUAGAGUACUGCAGGGGAGACUGGAAUUCCUGGUGUAGCGGUGGAAUGCGCAGAGUAUCAGGAGGAACACCGGUGGCGAAGGCGGGUCUCUGGGCCAUUACUGACGCUGGAGGAGCGAAAGCGUGGGGAGCGAACAGG